GGGCGCGUGGCUCAGGGAUAGAGCAAUAGAUUCCGGUUCUAUAGGUCGGGGGUUCGAAUCCCUCCGCGCUCA
rnacentral:tRNA from 1 species